rnacentral:lncRNA from 1 species
GCGAUAGGCGGCUUUGGGGUCGCCCCAGGAGUCCAGCUGCGAGAGACCAAUGGGAUUUGAAAAUGGCCUUGAUGAUUCAGACGGCCGUGACGUCAGCGGGGUCAAGUUGUCGGCAGGCGGAGCGCGCAGAGUGGAGUAACAGCGCCAUCUAGCAGCUGCCUCGGCAGUAACCAGCCUGUAACUCCUGGGGAGAAGGGGGCGGAGAGGGGGGAAAUGCGGGAGAGAGGGAGAGAGCGAGGCAACCCGGGGCUCAAAACAGUCAAAUUCAAAUUAAAAGGUCGAGACACGAAUCAGGGAAUAUUCCGGGAAAGAAAGAGGGAACCUGCGGAGCCUCGGUCAGUUUGGAGGAGUCACGUAUCACACGGGAAACCAGCACACAAGACGCAACAAAACCCGACCCAGAGAAGCGUCCUUUACAGAGCGCACGGGCUGGGAGCAUGUUUGAAAGAAGACAGACCAGUCUAUUUUUGUGGUUGUUUUUAAAUAAAAGGAAGAAAUAAGGGGAACCGUAUGUUUCAAACAGUUAUUUCCGUUUCUCCAUCGCCUUCUUCCAAAGCGAACUAAACUCUCCACCCCUUCCUCAGGAAACGGAAUCUGGAGAACAACUUGUCUUUCCUGUCGCCCCACAUUUUUCCUUGGACAGAGCCUAGGGUUCAGACUUUCCGAAGGGCUGGAGUUUGGCGGGGAAAGGACUGGAGCCCAGCGCCCUGGAGUGGAGGAGUGAGGAGGCUAGACCGUUUCUAAGGAGGCCCAAGCCCGCUGCGGCUAGAAGACCGCAGAAAGAAAUCCGCCGAAUUUCCCCAUCCAGGGGUGGAGAGAGAAGACGCAGGGGUUCCUGAACCUCCGGAAAACUGGAAGGAAAUGUGGAGUGUAUGAUUUGCUUGCAGGACCGGCCAGGGGAGAUUUGAAAUGGUUUUGUGUUUUCAUAUGCAGGGUCACCGUGGCCUCAGCAUGGGGGUUAUCCAGGGCAAGGUUAGGCUGUUUAGGCCCCAGACUUG